UUGUUUUACAGAAUGAACUUCAUGAGCGUAUAACAAUACCAGACACACUGCACUCGUAAACAUGGCAUCUUCGAGCGGAAGGCCAAGGAAACGAAGGCCGGAAUUCUCCGGUAUGGAGCAGCCGCCUCUUAUCAAACAGCUCAGAGGCAUUCUGUCAAAGUACCCAGACGGCGGACAGAUUCUUAAAGAAUUGAUUCAAAAUGCCGAUGAUGCGGGUGCGUCGGAGUUGAAGAUUAUGCUUGAAAGCAGGAGGAUUAACAGAAAUUUGACGGACGAAUCUGCAGAGUUUACGAAAUUCUUUCAGG